GGGGACGACAGGCUUCGACGUUGUCGGACCGUGCGGAGGGUUGCAGGUCGAGGAUGUCGAUGGCCUCGUAAAAAAUCGGCACAAACCAAUACGUGCGGACCAUGAGUUCGCCCUCGCUGCCUAGCUGAUACCUAGGCGAUGAGAGUCGGCCCACCCUCGGCCCGUGGGGAGGGGUUCCGGCUUCAGAAACGGGCUAGCCCCGAAGGAGCGCCUCGGCUGGAGGGGGACAUUUCAGAGGCUUGGCCAUCCGUAGUGCCAGCUGGCGCGGACCCCGGAUGGCGAGAACAAAGCGCCGGCUAAGCCUGUAGACGCCUUUCGACACGCGACUGCGGACGCGGGUUCAAUUCCCGCCGUCUCCAU
rnacentral:tmRNA from 2 species